ensembl:snRNA U6 U6 spliceosomal RNA
AUCUUUUUUUAAAAUUUUUAAAAACUAGAACAAUACAGAGAAGAUUAGCAAGGAUGUGCAAGGAUGGUACAUAAAUUGGGAAGUAUCCCAUAUUUUU